rnacentral:rRNA from 1 species
GCAUAUCAUAGCGAGAAAAGAAACUAACAAGGGAUUCCCCUAGUAACGGCGAAGUGAAGCGGGAUGAAGCUUCAAAUUUAAAAUCUGGCUGGUUUACUAGUCCGAGUUGUAGUUUAAAGAAGCGUUUUCGGUGGCAGUCUCGGUAAAAGUCCUUUGGAAUAGGGCAUCACAGAGGGUGAGAAUCCCGUCUUUGACUGAGAAUAUGCUACUAUGUGAUACGUUUUCAAAGAGUCGAGUUGUUUGGGAAAUGCAGCUCAAAAUGGGUGGUAAAUUUCAUCUAAAGCUAAAUAUUGGCGAGAGACCGAUAGCGAACAAGUACCGUGAGGGAAAGAUGAAAAGAACUUUGAAAAGAGAGUUAAACAGUGCGUGAAAUUGUUGAAAGGGAAACGCUUGAAACCAGUCAUGCGGCUGGGAAAUCAGUCUCUGACGAGGGGGAAUGGGAGAGGUGUGGACCGCAAGGCUGCUCUUUUUCAUAUCUUUUUCGGCAGGGAUGCACUUUUUCUUCCGCAGGUCAACAUCAGUUUGCUUUGCCGGACAAAACUCCUGGGAAGGUGACAGCUUAGGCUGUGUUAUAGCCCUGGAGCGAUACGGUGGAGCGGACUGAGGUUUUCGCAGCAUGUGCUCUCGGGCAAGGCUGAUUGGGUGCUAUGAGAUCGUUCAGGGUACAAUACAUGUAUUUUGCCUUGUGUCUUUUUUAUACUCGCUCAACUCGGCUCUUCCAUGCUUAGGAUGUUGACAUAAUGGUUUUAAUCGACCCGUCUUGAAACACGGACCAAGGAGUCUAACAUAUAUGCAAGUGUUUGGGUGGCAAACCCAUGCGCGUAAUGAAAGUGAACGUAGGUGCGAUCCGCAAGGUGCAGCAUCGACCGAUCUUGAUAUUUUUUGGAUAGAUUUGAGUAAGAGCAUAUAUGCUGGGACCCGAAAGAUGGUGAACUAUGCCUGAAUAGGGUGAAGCCAGAGGAAACUCUGGUGGAGGCUCGUAGCGAUUUCUGACGUGCAAAUCGAUCGUCAAAUUUGGGUAUAGGGGGCGAAAGACUAAUCGAAACCAUCUAGUAGCUGGGUUCCUGCGA